rnacentral:rRNA from 1 species
UACGUAGGGUGCAAGCGUUUGUCCGGAAUUAUUGGGCGUAAAGAGCUCGUAGGCGGUUUGUCGCGUCGAAUGUGAAAAUCCGGGGCUCAACCCCGGACUUGCAGUGGGUACGGGCAGACUAGAGUGUGGUAGGGGAGACUGGAAUUCCUGGUGUAGCGGUGGAAUGCGCAGAUAUCAGGAGGAACACCGGUGGCGAAGGCGGGUCU